AGCAGCAGCCACGGGAAUACGUAGGGUGCAAGCGUUAAUCGGAAUUACUGGGCGUAAAGCGUGCGCAGGCGGUUAUAUAAGACAGAUGUGAAAUCCCCGGGCUCAACCUGGGAACUGCAUUUGUGACUGUAUAGCUAGAGUACGGCAGAGGGGGAUGGAAUUCCGCGUGUAGCAGUGAAAUGCGUAGAUAUGCGGAGGAACACCGAUGGCGAAGGCAAUCCCCUGGGCCUGUACUGACGCUCAUGCACGAAAGCGUGGGGAGCAAACAGGAUUAGAUACCCGCGUAGUCCCUGUCUCUUAUAC
rnacentral:rRNA from 1 species